GACCACUAAAAACGUCUUGCUGGGGUUCGGCUUCAGGUCUGUAAAUUUCAUGUGGCGUACCAUCGAUGCACCCAACUGCAUCAGGAAAAAAACGCCAGUUUCCCCGCAAAGCGUUCCAUUCUGCCAAACUUGGCCAUGAUACUUGAUCGUGGAAAUAUCGCCAUAAAAUUGGGAUGACACUAUGGAUUAUACUUGUAAUUGUAGAUGGACUCACAUCAAACCAUAAAGCAAGAGUGUCUGCACAAGGAUAUUUUCUAAGCCAAAGAAAGCCACAGAAUCCUGUAUCAAGACGUUGCAUAAUGCGGCCGAUCGAUGGAGGAGCAUUUGGAAGUGAUGAUAGCAGCAUUAUAAUGGGAACCAACAUCCGUAUGAAGUUCUGCAGUUGGUUGAAGUUGUUAGCAGUUAUUGGAGGAAGUUGCACYAACAAAGUUAGGAAAGCUCCAAUUGUAGCAACGAACUGAUGAACGGGAAUCGGCAUAUUGAAAUAUCGAGCAGUAAUAUUCAUAUUUCCAUGGUCUUUUUAUAUAUGACAGGUUUAAUUAAUGCAUAGUAUUAAUUUGUCCCCAAAGGAAACGC